CUCUCAAACCCUAACCCAAGCGCCCAAUGGAUGCGUUUCAAGAUCUGCCGACGAUGGCGACGAAGACGACUCCACUGAACAAAGAAACGGCGACGGAGAGAAAACCUCAAGCUGCUAUAAUCGUUUUCCGGGAGAUGUCAAGACACCAACCCAACACCGACUGAAACUACCAAAAUAGUCUAAAACAACAACAGAUUCCAACAGAUCGAAACUAAUUCCUGCCUCUAGGCAUCAUAAGAUCCCCAAACGAAGCACAUCCUAAAAACCCGCUGUCUAUUUUGUGGAACAAUCUCCAGCGUGAAAUCGGCGAAAAAAGGAGCAAUUUUCUUCGAUGAAGAAAAAAGGAGCAGCAAUGGCAUUGCAAACAUUAAGGGACAACAUUGGAGAAGAAAAGAAGAUAAGUAUCACCACAGUCUUGGGUUAAAUUCAGUAAUGGAGCAGCUAUCAGCACCAAUGGUGCUAUUAGGAUUGAGAAGAAACCAGCUCAAAACUUAAAGAUUGUGUCUGAGAACAAUAAGGACAUCAUUGAAGGAUGUAAAUAUCAUAGAUCUUCAAAGUAUAUCAGUCAAACUAAUAUAAAGUAAUAUGCAAAACUUCUUUCACCGAUGAUCUUUGAAAAAUGUACUCCCUCUGUCCCAAGAUAAGCGAGUUACAUUCCUUUUUGGUACGUCCUAA